UUACCGUGGAGGGAAAGUUGCAAAGAACUUUGGAGAGAGAGUUCAAGAGUACGUGAAACCGCUCGGAGGUAAACGGGUGGGACCUCGAAGGUCGAACGGGUGGAUUCAACCUGUCGGUGGUCGCGCUGUCGGUGGUCGCGUUGCUGCAGAUACAUCCUAGGUAACAGAUUCCAAGGACUGGUUUGCGGUGACAAAAGCGACUUGCUGGCGGGCGCACUUCCACCUCAGUAGGACGCCGCGACCGGUCGGAAAGUCUGAAAGUGAGCAGCCAUAAGUCGAAAGUGGUUAGCAGGUAUCCGUUGCCGGUAGUUCUGGGAGUGCAUUAACGUGCGUCUCUUUGGAGCCCGGUCGGAGUUACAGCCCGCUUCUGCACGACUGGCCCUGUUCGCCGACCGUUGCGAAAGACUCGAUUUUGUCGGCGUGCCCGCUCUUAAAACGCGUGUCCGUUUCCGGGAGGCUGGGUGGAGGUUGUUUGCGGAUGGACACCCAAUAACGGGUGGCCUCUGCCUCUCCGCCUGCCACGUUACCCGGGAAAAAACGUUUGGUAGGGUGAGCACGGUGGCAGCUUAGAGGUCUGGCGGAGUAGUAUCCGCUUCCCCACGACGAACAA
rnacentral:rRNA from 1 species